rnacentral:tRNA from 1 species
AGCGGGGUGGGGUGCCAGGAUAUCCCGCGGGGCUCAUAACCCCGAGAUCGGUGGUUCAAAUCCACCCCCCGCUACCA